rnacentral:rRNA from 1 species
AACGCUAGCUACAGGCUUAACACAUGCAAGUCGAGGGGCAUCAGGAAGAAAGCUUGCUUUCUUUGCUGGCGACCGGCGCACGGGUGAGUAACACGUAUCCAACCUGCCCUUUACUCGGGGAUAGCCUUUCGAAAGAAAGAUUAAUACCCGAUGGCAUAAUGAUUCCGCAUGGUUUCAUUAUUAAAGGAUUCCGGUAAAGGAUGGGGAUGCGUUCCAUUAGGUUGUUGGUGAGGUAACGGCUCACCAAGCCUUCGAUGGAUAGGGGUUCUGAGAGGAAGGUCCCCCACAUUGGAACUGAGACACGGUCCAAACUCCUACGGGAGGCAGCAGUGAGGAAUAUUGGUCAAUGGGCGCUAGCCUGAACCAGCCAAGUAGCGUGAAGGAUGAAGGCUCUAUGGGUCGUAAACUUCUUUUAUAUAAGAAUAAAGUGCAGUAUGUAUACUGUUUUGUAUGUAUUAUAUGAAUAAGGAUCGGCUAACUCCGUGCCAGCAGCCGCGGUAAUACGGAGGAUCCGAGCGUUAUCCGGAUUUAUUGGGUUUAAAGGGAGCGUAGGUGGACUGGUAAGUCAGUUGUGAAAGUUUGCGGCUCAACCGUAAAAUUGCAGUUGAUACUGUCAGUCUUGAGUACAGUAGAGGUGGGCGGAAUUCGUGGUGUAGCGGUGAAAUGCUUAGAUAUCACGAAGAACUCCGAUUGCGAAGGCAGCUCACUGGACUGCAACUGACACUGAUGCUCGAAAGUGUGGGUAUCAAACAGGAUUAGAUACCCUGGUAGUCCACACAGUAAACGAUGAAUACUCGCUGUUUGCGAUAUACAGUAAGCGGCCAAGCGAAAGCAUUAAGUAUUCCACCUGGGGAGUACGCCGGCAACGGUGAAACUCAAAGGAAUUGACGGGGGCCCGCACAAGCGGAGGAACAUGUGGUUUAAUUCGAUGAUACGCGAGGAACCUUACCCGGGCUUAAAUUGCAGUGGAAUGAUGUGGAAACAUGUCAGUGAGCAAUCACCGCUGUGAAGGUGCUGCAUGGUUGUCGUCAGCUCGUGCCGUGAGGUGUCGGCUUAAGUGCCAUAACGAGCGCAACCCUUAUCUUUAGUUACUAACAGGUCAUGCUGAGGACUCUAGAGAGACUGCCGUCGUAAGAUGUGAGGAAGGUGGGGAUGACGUCAAAUCAGCACGGCCCUUACGUCCGGGGCUACACACGUGUUACAAUGGGGGGUACAGAAGGCAGCUAGCGGGUGACCGUAUGCUAAUCCCAAAAUCCUCUCUCAGUUCGGAUCGAAGUCUGCAACCCGACUUCGUGAAGCUGGAUUCGCUAGUAAUCGCGCAUCAGCCACGGCGCGGUGAAUACGUUCCCGGGCCUUGUACACACCGCCCGUCAAGCCAUGGGAGCCGGGGGUACCUGAAGUACGUAACCGCAAGGAUCGUCCUAGGGUAAAACUGGUGACUGGGG